AAUGAAGUGAAAACUGUAGACAGUAAGAACAAGGCAGUGUAUGUCAAUUUGGCUUCUUUGUGGGUGGGAAAGCAUGAAAAUCAAAAGGGUAAUGAUUAACUGACCGUGCUACUCCAAGAAAAGUUGGAUGUAUUAGCACUGUUGGAUUAAGAUGUUUGCGUACCUUAUCUAUGAGGUGAGAACUACAAGGCAAGUAGAUGAUUUCUGAUAUGCUGGGUUGCAGUUCCAUGGAUGGUGGCAGCCGUCUGGUAUUUUAUCUAAGCAGUCAUAUUUUAUUUGUGAGCCUCGUAUUGAUGACAUUUGUUAUGAAACUGCAAUUCUGCUUCCUUGCCAGAUGUUCAAACAUGUAUUUGCCACUAGAAUGCAUUAUAUAGUGGAAAGGCUGUAGUUUUUCUUCUCAAGCCUUUAUAUGAGCAUAAGAAUUAGUAAAAGGAAUAGGGCAUUUGGCUCCUCAAUCAUGCUCUGCUAUUCAAUAAGUUUCUGACUGUCUCCCCUCAAUCAUGCAAGAUUGAACCACUUAGUGUUAUAUCCCAUUUUUCUAGUUGAAAUCUACUAAUUUAGCAUGUAUAAAGGAUUCAGUUUGGAUCCUUACUGGUUGAUAUAAUUCAUGCUCACAAACAGUGCAUUUAUGUAACCAGCCAUUGAUCGUUCCUGAAACCUGUUGUUGCUAAAACCCCUAACCCCAUUUGCUCCAUUCCCUUUCCCCAAUUGUGAAUUUACAUUGAACAAUGACUUUAGAGAAUUGAUAUUUUCUUUUCUUGGCUUUCUUUGGGAAAUAAUUAGGUGCCCUUGGAAAUCUAAUAUGACUGGGAGGAGUAGUGUAGAAUAUCUUUCCUUGUUAGCUGAUAUCCAAAAUAUUGCAGCUUUUUCUCAAGUAGCCUUUAUAUGGGCUUGCAUCUAUUUCCUCUGUUCUUUAUUGCACAGAUAGAUGAAAUACCGAAACAAUUCAUAUAGUUCCUGGACUAUAGAAAGUGAUUUGAAGGUAUUUGGCAUAUGUCGGAGUUCUUCAGAGUAGUCUUUUUAUCCCCCUUUAUUCAUUAACGGUGUCACUGGCUAGGCAGCAUUUAUUGCCCAAAGUCAACCACAUUGCUGUGAGUCUGGAGUCAAGUGACCAGGUAAGGAUGGCAGAGACAACAGGGUGCAGGGCUGGAUCUGCCAUCCUUGCCUGGUCUGGCGUAUAUAUAACAUCAA